CAUCAACAAAAUCGAUUUUGUUUUUGGCUGAUAAGGCAACAAUCAUUUUACGUCUCCAGCACCCAUAACCACUACCCGAGAAGGGAGUGGGAACGAGAGCUACCCCAGGGACAUCAGAAGAAUAUACAAAAAGGGGACUGGAAGAGUCUACAGAAGGGGAGGCGGACAGAGUUACCCUCCUUCUUCGCGACCGGAGAAGAUCAGCCUUCAAACAACAGAGAAACCCUAGGUAUAAAGCCCUAGGUGUAACCUUGGAAAUCGUUACUGAAAAUGUGGUCAGGAACGUCGGAGAGGCACCCAAACGUCCACUGAGUGAAAUCGAGCCACCGGAAAGCAGUAGAACCCUAUGUUAAACCACCAGAAACCCUAAAAGUCGAUAGGUCACCGAGAAACCACCCAAAAUCAGCUGAAAACCACUCAGAAUGUUUGGGUGAAGAAAAUAUACUUAAAUAUCAUGAGAAAAAACUCGGAAAAGCAUCCGAUCUAGGUCAAAGCCAUCAUCGACCAUAAGGUCUCAGAAAAAGCCCUAAAAAUCUCAAAGAGAGUUCAACCAAGACAACGAGAUGUAGAGAAACAUAACCGGAUCGUCGUAUAGGCUCUGAUACCAUGUAAACAUUGAUAUUAGACCGAGAAAUCAUAGAAAACAUAAAGAGAUAAAGUAGAGAGAAGUCAGAGCAUUUCGGAACUCUCUGGAAGAUCAGAGAUGUUAUUACAGAGAAAAGAAAGAAAAUGAAUACUCGGUAGGUGAGAAAAAUAUCUCACCUACAUAUAUACAUGUUACACACGG
rnacentral:lncRNA from 1 species